rnacentral:rRNA from 1 species
GAUGAACGCUGGCGGCGUGCCUAAUACAUGCAAGUCGAGCGAACAGACGAGGAGCUUGCUCCUCUGACGUUAGCGGCGGACGGGUGAGUAACACGUGGAUAACCUACCUAUAAGACUGGGAUAACUUCGGGAAACCGGAGCUAAUACCGGAUAACAUGUUGAACCGCAUGGUUCAACAGUGAAAGACGGUUUUGCUGUCACUUAUAGAUGAAUCCGCGCCGCAUUAGCUAGUUGGUAAGGUAACGGCUUACCAAGGCAACGAUGCGUAGCCGACCUGAGAGGGUGAUCGGCCACACUGGAACUGAGACACGGUCCAGACUCCUACGGGAGGCAGCAGUAGGGAAUCUUCCGCAAUGGGCGAAAGCCUGACGGAGCAACGCCGCGUGAGUGAAGAAGGUCUUCGGAUCGUAAAACUCUGUUAUUAGGGAAGAACAAAUGUGUAAGUAACUAUGCACGUCUUGACGGUACCUAAUCAGAAAGCCACGGCUAACUACGUG